rnacentral:rRNA from 1 species
AUGCACUUACUGGCCACCACGCAGGCGGAGCACCAGGUGAAGGGUAGACUCCUUCUGGAUGUUGUAGUCUGCCAGGGUGCGGCCAUCCUCCAGCUGCUUGCCAGCAAAGAUGAGGCGCUGCUGGUCCGGGGGGAUACCCUCCUUGUCCUGGAUCUUGGCCUUCACAUUGUCGAUGGUGUCCGAGGACUCCACCUCCAGGGUGAUGGUCUUGCCGGUGAGCGUCUUGACAAAAAUCUGCAUGCCUCCACGAAGCCUGAGCACCAGGUGGAGGGUGGACUCCUUCUGGAUGUUGUAGUCAGCCAGGGUGCGGCCAUCCUCUAG